GUAUUCUAGCUUCCAGCACUGCUACUGAGAAGCCCAAUGAUAAUGUAAUUUCUAAACUUUUCUGUUUAUUUUUCUGACAACUUUUCAGAUCUUCUCCUUGUCACUGGUGUUCUGAUUUCAUGAACAAACUGUGCCUUCAUGUGAGCCACCUUUCACUCAUUGUGCUGGACACUGUGCCUCUUGAACCUGGAAGUUCAUGCCCUUCAAUUUGGGGAUAAACUGUUUCAUUUCUUGGAUCAUUUUUUUCCCAUUAUUUUGUUUUCUUUCUGGAACUCCGUUUAGUCUCAUGUUGCCAGGGCUCCCUAAUACGUCAUCAAAGUUUCUUUCUUAGUGUCUACUACUUGGUCUAAUCCCUGCUUCCACCUUGUGCCCCAUAGUUUAGUCUAAAUGCUGUAGCCAGUGACCUGUUAAAAGGAAAAGGCAGCUCAUGUUACUCCUUAGCUGAAGACCCCCCAAUGGGUUCUCUCUUGAAGUAAAAAUCAGUGUUCUUACAAUGACCUACAAAGGCCCUAUGUGAUUUGGCCCCCACCACUCUGACUUUACCUCCUAGUUCUCUUUCCCUUGUUUACUCUUCUCUAGUCACAAUGGCAAUCUUGUUCAAAACAGUUUGUAAUGCACACAAAAAAUUUAAGUGAAAAAUUAAAGGUUAUACCUCAAUUUAAAAAAAAGGAUACACACACAAAAUGGUCAGUAGAAAACAGUUUGUUUCUCUUAUGAAAAUAAUAUACAGAAAGUUUCAUCAGCAGUAUCUCAGGAAACUAGAACUUAAAGCAAGAGACUUCAUUUAAAAAUCAGAAGAAAGGAGGGCAUUCAUUUCUUAAACUAGUAAUUCCUUCUAUUUCUACAAUUUCUACUCCAGUGCUAACCCAGUACCUCUAAACAUUCAGUCAGCAGAGAACAAGCACUCCCCAUAUAAAAACUUGGUCGAUUUUAACUGGGAGGUAGAAAUCAUGGGAAAAAUAAACCAGCCUUAAUCUUUUGGUCUCUACCCAAAAAGCAAACAAAACAUAGGGGCUUGAUUUAGACUCAUGUAUGGAAUCUAGUGAUAAUAAUAAGAACAACAAGAAUAUCCACAAUCUUUUUUUUUUAAUACCCAAGUCGUUAAGAUGAUUUAUUUAUAGACCAAAAAGCUCACAAGCCUGUGCUUUUAUUUUAGCAAAUUACAUGCAAUAACAGGGAAGAAUACCCACAAUCUUUAUACAAAGCUACUAAGCUUUUUGGAUUUCAGAAUUGCAGAUAAGGGAAUGUGAACUAACAACAACGAUGACACUAAAAAUGAUAACAGCAGCAAUUAUUUAUAUAAUGGCAACUACAUGUCAGACUGUAUCCUAAGCAUUUUUAUAUUAACUCAUUUAAUUGUCUCAACUUUAUGAGGUAGGUAUUAGGCAAUCUGGCUCCAGGAUUUGUGCUCUAUGUUACCCAAAGAAGUAAAAGGCACACUCUUCCAAGGCCAUUCAGGGUGGGCACAGAGGAAGGAUACAUCUUACCAAAGCUCAAGCAUGUCAUUCUAACACUACCCAAUAUAAUAACUACUGUUAAAAAUCACGUCUUGGGGCUUCCCUGGUGGCACAGUGGUUGAGAAUCCGCCUGCCAAUGCAGGGAACGUGGGUUCAAGCCCUGGUCCAGGAAGAUCCCACAUGCCGCGGAGCAACUAAGCCCAUGCACCACAACUACUGAAGCCCUCACAUCUAGAGCCUGUGCUCCACAACAAGAGAGGCCACCGCAAUGAGAAGCCCGCGCACCGCAACGAAGAGUAGCCCCUGCUCGCCGCAACAAGAGAAAGCUCUGCAAUGAGAAGCCCGCACACCACAACGAAGAGUAGC